CGUCGCCGCGGUAAUACGGAGGGUGCAAGCGUUAAUCGGAAUUACUGGGCGUAAAGCGUGCGUAGGCGGCUUGGUAAGUUAGAGGUGAAAGCCCGGAGCUCAACUCCGGAGUUGCCUUUAAGACUGCCGAGCUAGUAGGUGAGAGAGGUAAGUGGAAUUCCGAGUGUAGAGGUGAAAUUCGUAGAUAUUCGGAAGAACACCAGUGGCGAAGGCGGCUUACUGGCUCAUUCUAGACGCUGAGGUGCGAAAGCGUGGGGAGCAAACAGGAUUAGAUACCCGCGUAGUCCCUGUCUCUUAUACC
rnacentral:rRNA from 1 species